UGGCGACUGCGGACACGGGGUCGGGCACGCCGGGGACUCCUGUUGCCCCGCACGCAAGAGCAAGCCCCCAGCCCCCAGCCCUGUGCAUGCCUCCUGCAGGCCCGCGGGGACCCGGGGCGGCCCCCUUGCUGCACACAAAGCCAGCCGGAACCUCUGAGGGCCCCCUCGUGCAGCCAAGCCACCCACCUCCCGGCCGCCCCACCCCUUCCCUGCCCUGAGCCCCAUCCCCAGCCUGCCCCGACACCACGCAAACCCCACGCAAUCCCGCAUCUCCUGCCCCCCGCCCCCCAGUCUGGGAAACAGAUUAACUCACGCCACCAGCCAUCCCCCCUCCUGCCAUCUAUGGAGCCUCGUUUGGUGGACCCCGCCCCUGCUGACAGUGCCUACGGGACCUUGUGCAUCUUACCUUCUAUGUGUUCUCCUGUCUGUGAAAUGGGCAUGAGAACAGUACCCAUUGUUGAGAGGAUUAAACAAGUCAAUGUGUGUAAAGCAUUUAGACACAGUAAGCACCCAAUAAAUUUUGGCCACUAUUUUCA